rnacentral:rRNA from 1 species
UACAGAGGGUGCAAGCGUUAAUCGGAAUUACUGGGCGUAAAGCGCGCGUAGGUGGUUUGUUAAGUUGAAUGUGAAAUACCCGGGCUCAACCUGGGAACUGCAUCCAAAACUGGCAAGCUAGAGUAUUGUAGAGGGUGGUGGAAUUUCCUGUGUAGCGGUGAAAUGCGUAGAUAUAGGAAGGAACACCAGUGGCGAAGGCGACCACCUGGACUGAUACUGACACUGAGGUGCGAAAGCGUGGGGAGCAAACAGG